rnacentral:rRNA from 1 species
CAGUAGCAUAUGCUUACCUUGGAGAUUAAGCCAUGCAUGUCUCAGUAUAAGUUAUAUACGGCGAAACUGCGAAUGGCUCAUUAAAACAGUUAUAAUUUAUUUGAUACUCUUUCUAUAUGGAUAACCGUUGAGAAAUCACGGCUAAUACAUGCUUAAAUGCCUUAGGGCUGUAUUUAUUAGUUUAAAUCUCUGGCUUCGGCCUAUGUGAGGAAUCUUAAUAACUGAUCGGAGCGCACUUGUGUGAGCUAAAUCUUUCAAGUUUCUGCCCUAUCAGCUCUCGAUGGUAGUGUAUUGGACUACCAUGGCGAUCACGGGUAACGGAGAAUUAGGGUUCGAUUCCGGAGAGGGAGCCUGAGAAACGGCUACCACAUCUAUGGAAGGCAGCAAGCGCGUAAAUUACCCAAUCCUGACUCAGGAAGGUAGUUACAAGAAAUGUAAACUUUGGCCUCACGGCUAUGUUUUAAAUGUGGUGAAUCUAAACCUUUCACCGAUUAACUGGAGGGCAAGUCUGGUGCCAGCAGCCGCGGUAACUCCAGCUCCAGUAGUAUAUCUUAAAGUUGUUGCAGUUAAAAAGCUCGUAGUUGAAUUUCUAUCAGGGUAGUUUCCUCCUUCGGGAGGAUCCCUACUUAUGAUAUCCGUCAGGGAAUUAAAUUUGUCAUUCAUUUGUCAAUUUUUGGAACUGGCAUUUUACUUUGAAGAAAUUAGAGUGUUCCAGGCAGGCUAUGCUUGAAUACAUCAGCAUGGAAUAAUGGAAUAGGAUUUGCUUAUUUUAUUGGUUAUUAAGCGAAUAAUGAUUAACAGGGACAGUUGGGGGCACUCGUAUUCGGCGGUCAGAGGUGAAAUUCGAAUUCGCCGAGGACGAACUAAUGC